UUGGUGAAGGGAAUCCCUGCUCCUGUCCUUGGCAAGUUAUUGACAGAGUCACCCACGUCCACCUUUUGGCCUUCAAACCUGCAGUCACGUGGGCCCCUCCCAGGCAGCUGCCCCGCAUGCCAGCGCCAGGCCGGUCUGCUGGGAUAGCUGGCUGGGGGGAAGCCUUCCGGGAGAGCUCCAAGAGAGGUGUGUUUACCGUGCAAACUGCACUGAUGGAAGAUCCCUGCUUAUCUGAAAGCCCUGGGCCAGCCCUGAGGCGCUGGCGGAGUGUGAAGAAAAGGGUGUGGUGACCCAGAUUGCAGAACACAGCAGGGAAGGAGGGUAGUGCGUGGAAGAGCAUGGAGUGGACGUGGGCAUGCGUCAGGAAGCUGCUGUAUCCGCGGUCCAGGCAAGCGAGAGGCUGUGGUGGCUCAGUGAAGAGACCGAGCUCAACGUGCCUGGCUGGGAAGGAGUUACGAGGAAGUGGGGCCUGCCUCUCCCCUCCGGCCCUGCACAGCCAACCAGAAAAACAAGCUUGCAGUCUCCUCGGGAGCUAAGGGUCUCCCUAUAUAGUCCAGGCUGGCCUUGAACUCAUGAUCUUCCUGCCUCAGUCUCUCAAGUGCUGAGAUUACAGGCCCAUGCCACCACGCCAGGCUUUCUAACUGGAUUUCUUUGUAAUGCAGAUGAGAGGCUUCAGGGUUCAACCCAUGUACUCUUUCCUACCAAGCAGCAGCAGUCACUGAGUCAGAGGUCACACUGGGCUCAGGAGGGAAUCUCGUCUGAACACCAGAGGUCCCUGUGCUGGGUACUGGAUGUGGGGCUUUUGGCACAGUGGUAGCUUUACCAUAAUCGCUGCGCAUGGAAGAAAUCUGAGAACUCGGCAGAGUUUUCUGGAGAUGCAGAAGGGAGGCUGCAGCGAUGGCCCUGUGAUAAGGAUGCCUGCAGCACCUGCGUGCUGUGACACUCAGACUCAAGCUGCCUCAAGGCUUUCUGUCCUUCCCUGAACACAGCCGUGACGCUUCGUGUGCUAAGACAGCACGUCGGCCGCAUGGGAUUUAUGAUGUGAUUUCCCCGCCUUUGGUUAAUUUACUUUAUGAUCAUCACUGACAGUGUCAGGGGUACAGUCCUCUGGGUAUAGACUGGGGCCACUGAUAUCGCAAAUCAGAGUGCAGAGCAAAUCCGUCUCCCCCAAAUUCCUAUCCGCCCCCCCCCCCCCAGAACCAGGGCUCCAGUCCUUGUCACUACGGUUUUGUCACUGUAGAGGGUGCUGUGAUGGCACCCAGACAGUAUCGCCUUCUGAGACUGGCUGCUUGCAGGAUGAUGCCUUCCAUAACUGAAUUUUAAUGGUGUAUUUUGUGCUCCGUUUCCCAGCUGUAAAGACAACACCAUGUAGUAACAUUCCACGACUCCACGGGAAGACAGCGAUUUUACCCACAUCAAGCUGGAGGCCGAGUGACCCCAGGACAGUGUCACGUGAUCCGUGAAAUGAAACAUGCUUUAAAAACUAAAUUUAGAAGCGAAGAGCUCUGUGGAGGUCGUGAUUGGAAAGGAGACCACAGCAGCAUGUAAAAGCUCUAUGCCAGGAUGCUGCUUGGCACUGUCUUCCUCCCCACCUUGCUGGCCACCUGCACUUGGAGUCGGCAGCCUUGGGGACUGGAAAGAGCCUGGCGGAUCGGAGCUUCCUUUCCUAGCUGAUGAUUACGAAGAGUUUGUGAGAUCUGCAGCAUUCCAAGAGACAAGAAUGGUUUCUUAUGAAAACACAGACCUUUAAACUCAUGGUGAUUUUUUAAAAAAAAAUUCCAUGAAUAUGUUGAUAACGAUUCUCUUUUGUUAUGUUCUGUUUUUGGAUUCCAAUCACAGAGAGACCUGGUUUGAAGACAGAAUUCUUUUGCUCUUACACAAACCAACAGUUUUGUUUCUGGAGAAUAAAACUGUGAAGACUGA